UCUGUUGCCAGGGAAGAACGCUAUGGAAAGUAACUGUUCCAUAGGUGACGGUACCUGAGAAGAAAGCCCCGGCUAACUACGUGCCAGCAGCCGCGGUAAUACGUAGGGGGCAAGCGUUGUCCGGAAUUAUUGGGCGUAAAGCGCGCGCAGGCGGUCAUGUAAGUCUGGUGUUUAAACCCGGGGCUCAACUCCGGGUCGCAUCGGAAACUGUGUGACUUGAGUGCAGAGAGGAAAGUGGAAUUCCACGUGUAGCGGUGAAAUGCGUAGAGAUGUGGAGGAACACUAGUGGCGAAGGCGACUUUCUGGGCUGUAACU
rnacentral:rRNA from 1 species